rnacentral:rRNA from 1 species
AACGUAGGAGACAAACGUUAUCCGGAAUUAUUGGGCGUAAAGGGUGCGUAGGUGGCCUGACAAGUUAUCAGUGGCAAAUCGAGGCUCAACCUCGUGGAAACUGGUAAUACUGUUCGGCUUGAGUACAGGAGAGGUUAACGGAACUCUAUGUGGAGCGGUAAAAUGCACAGAUAUAUGGAAGAACAUCAAUAAAGGCGAAGGCAGUUAACUAUUCUGUUACUGACGCUGAGGCACGAAAGCGUGGGGAGCAAAACGG